ensembl:lncRNA
CGUAAUGAGAAAUUUGCAGGGUAGAAGAUCCCUUCGUUCUUCACUGGUAGGGAUCCCACACUGCAGCUCAGCUUCACGGAUCCUAAACGUGUGGCGGACAGCAGAGAACCUAAAGAUACUUUCCAUUGACUGUUUCAUAAGAGCUGAGUUAAGCUGGCAUGGGUAUCCUCCCUUGUCUCUUAUAAAAUGUAAGUUUUGCUAAACCAGAUAUUCUGGAAAUGCUACCAGGUAUCUCUGAUACCGCAUCAGUGAAGAAUUUGGUAGGCAGUCCAUGGUGUUGCCUGAAUGGGAUAAACCUCUAAUACAGGCACAGAGCAUAUCAAGGUGAAGCACAUGGAACUGGAAUCCCAUGACUUUAUGUGCUUUUGGUGCUAAGUGGUGGAGGACAGCAGGAAGGAGGAAGGCAACUACAGGGGAACCGUAGCCUGAGUUCAUGAGCCAUAAGUAGAGAGCACUACCAAGGGCACAUCUUUCCCCACUCAGGAAAAGAAGAAAGGCAAGGAGCUCCCUUGUUUUGAAACCAGUCUUCUCUCUCUGACCAGACUGGCAGGCAGUCUUCAUUUCAGAUUAUAUCUCUUCUGUGUCCAGGGAUCUCUCUCACCAUUUCCCUGAAGACCUUUUAAUCCCAAUUGGACUUUGCAGUCUAAUUCAGAUUCCAAAUCCAGAUGUCAGUCCUAUCUGAGGCCACCUGUUCUUGCCUUCACAAGCAGUUUUCUCCUGUUAUUCAGGUGUUUGAUGGGGUUGAGGACAACACACUUCAAUACACAGGGCUACCAAAGGCGCAAAGAAUCAAAAGGCAUUCGUAUUUUAUUUUCUACAUUUUAAUUGUUGCCACUGAAGUCUUAACUACCUCAUUCAAAUACAUCAUUGGCUACUUUUGUUGUAUUUCUCAGAUUUUUACAAUUUUUUCCCCCUCAAAACUAUGUCCAAUAUUAUUUUUCUUCAUAAUCUGUAAGAAAUUUCAACUUCAGUGUGACAUAGGCUAUUUUGUAAUACAGGGUUGGCUUGAAUUCACUUAUUUAUUUAUUUUUUACAACUCCAUGAUUAGUUCAUAAAAAACAUGCCAUAGAUGUAUUUCCCACAGCAAAUCUCAAUAAACUGUUCCAGUGUC